rnacentral:rRNA from 1 species
ACGUAGGGGGCAAGCGUUAUCCGGAUUUACUGGGUGUAAAGGGAGCGUAGACGGCACAGCAAGUCUGAUGUGAAAGCCCGGGGCCCAACCCCGGAACUGCAUUGGAAACUGCUGGGCUUGAGUGCAGGAGAGGUAAGCGGAAUUCCUAGUGUAGCGGUGAAAUGCGUAGAUAUUAGGAGGAACACCAGUGGCGAAGGCGGCUUACUGGACUGUAACUGACGUUGAGGCUCGAAAGCGUGGGGAGCAAACAG